GACGAACGCUGGCGGCGUGCCUAAUACAUGCAAGUAGGACGCAGUUGCGAACGGGUGAGUAAAGCGUAGGUAACUGCCUAUUAGAGGGGGAUAACUAUUGGAAACGAUAGCUAAUACCGCAUACUAGUAGAUGGACCUGCGUUGUAUUAGCUAGUAGGUAGGGUAAUGGCCUACCUAGGCGACGAUACAUAGCGGACCUGGGAGGGUGAGCGGCCAAACGGGGACUGAGAGACGGCCCAGACUCCUACGGGAGGCAGCAGUAGGGAAUCUUCGGCAAUGGGGGGAACGCUGACCGAGCAACGCCGCGUGAGUGAAGAAGGUUUUCGGAUCGUAAAGCUCUGUUGUUAAGGAAGCGGUACUUAACCAGAAAGGGACGGCUAACUACGUGCCAGCCGCCGCGGUAAUUC
rnacentral:rRNA from 1 species